rnacentral:rRNA from 1 species
UACGAAGGGAGCUAGCGUUGUUCGGAAUCACUGGGCGUAAAGCGCACGUAGGCGGAUGUGUCAGUCAGGGGUGAAAUCCCGGAGCUCAACUUCGGAACUGCCUUUGAUACAGCACGUCUUGAGUCCGAUAGAGGUGGGUGGAAUUCCUAGUGUAGAGGUGAAAUUCGUAGAUAUUAGGAAGAACACCGGUGGCGAAGGCGGCCCACUGGAUCGGUACUGACGCUGAGGUGCGAAAGCGUGGGGAGCGAACGGG